rnacentral:lncRNA from 1 species
CAAACUUUGCGGGAACUUGAUCGAUGCGGAACGGGGCGGUGCGCGGUGCUGCCGGGGCUGGGCUGCGAGAUAACAGCGCGCUCGGGAGCUUAAUUUCACAAUUAGUUUGCCGUAUUAUUGGAAGCAAAUCAUAUUUCACUGUGCCUACACCAGCGCGCUAUUUUUAGCCAGAAUGUCGCUAAAAAGGAGGAACCUACCGAGAUGUAUUAUCGCGCAGAACGCAAACAAUUCCCUCUCUUCCCUCACUCCGUGCCACGCAGCAGCUAUGGAGCUCGGGUCGCUCCCAACCUGGCGCCGGUGCCCUUCGGGGCAGAGGGCAGUGCCCGCCCGCAGGGACCCCCCCCCCGCCCCGGCAGCGCCGGCCCGCUCCGUGCCACACACAGCAGUGGAAUGCUGGGCCGAGGGUCGCGUUGCUUUGUCUCACUCUUCCUGCCAUUCUUGCGGAGUUUAUUUUUAUUUUUCAGGGCAAAGGUGUAAAUACAAACAGCAGCUGGAAUGCCUGGAGGUAGACUCAGCCUUAGUGGUUAGCAGCAGUCACUGAAGACUGACAUUACCUUGCCUGCUCGAGCCUGGUCAGAAGAAGCACAUUCCAUGAAUGUGCAAGAAUUUCUGGCAUGAAUUCUUGUACAUGCACAUUUACAUUUUGGCUUCUGCGCAUGCUGUUCUUGCGACUGCCACUUUGAACUCUGCUUUUCGUGAGUAAUUCCAACAACAAAAUUCAGACCUUCAUAUACACACAGAAAGCAAACACAAAAGAGGCAGGAACAGAGCCAAAUGAAAGUAAUUUUAAAUGUUUUUCUUUAUUUAUUUUGCAUUGCACUCACAGCUCUGGCUAGACAGUGAUAGAGUAAAAAUUAUGCACCCCACUCAAGACUUCUAAAGGAAGAUCAGCCAAGACUCAGAGGAAAUCUUAUUUGUUUAAGAGUCAAAGUUGGUCCAGAGCAGGAAUGAUAGAGAGUGUAGCCAACCAGCAUGUUUUGGUUUUGUCUUCUAUGAGUAACUUAAAAUUGAAAAAUUAAGCCUAUCUGAAACCUUUUGUGUUAGACAGCUACACAGAAAACAUCACUACUUUGAAAUGCAAGAUGAGGUACUGAUUUUUUUUUCAUCGAGUUUCUUUAGUUCUCUUCUAGGCAAAGGACACCCUCCUGAGAAUGCAAGAGCUCUCCAUCCCCCAGCAAAAGAAGUCAAGUAGAGGAGGCGGGUGACCGAUGUCGCUGAGCAAGGACCUGCAGCUUAAACUGAGGGAAAAGAGAGAAAUGUAUGCGAAGUGGAAGCAGGGUUGUGCAGCCUGGGAGGAAUAUAGGGCUGUUGUCUGCAUAUGUAGAGAUAGGAUCAGGAAAGCCAAGGCGCAAUCGAGUUGAACUUGGCUAGGGAUGUGAAAAAUAACAAGAAGGGGUUCUACAGGUACAUAGGCAGGAGGAGACGGGUCAAGGAGUGUGUUCCCCCUCUGAUAAAUGAGGAUGGAGAAGUGGCUUCCUCAGUCACGGAAAAAGCCGAGGUGCUCAAUAAGUGCUUUGCCUUGGUCUUCACUGGUGGUCAGG